GGGGUGCGCUUUGAGUGAGGGGCCCAAGAAAUGGCCUUUCUGUUUACACCGCACCUCACAGGAAUCAGGCCCAGUGUGAUGGGAGUACGCAGCAACUACACCCCUUUUCCACACACGGACCUCAUGU